GGAAAGUUUGUCGGAGGGAAACAUGACUUAUUGAGGAACGUUAAUCCGGAACAAAUCUUGGGCAGAAGCGGAACUUAGACCAGGACGCACAGUUACCAUGGCAAUGAGGCGCGCCCGAAGGGCGGUGGCAGCGACGCAGAGAGACCUGGGAGGAGACAGAGGCAGGGCUUGCGACGGAAGUGGCCUCUCUGCUUCUGCAGGGCUGGGGAAGAUGCUGCGUCCGGCGUUACCGUGGCUGUGCUUUGGCCUCUGCAGCUUCCUGGUCGGGGAUGCAGAGGCCCCGAGCCCCGUGGAUCCGCUGGAGCGGAGCCGGCCGUACGCGGUGCUGCGCGGGCAGAACCUGGAGACAACUGGAGAGAGGAUCUGUUUACAGCUGUUUGCACAGCACCUGACAUAGUGCGUGGCAGCAAGUGGCAUUUGAUAAAUCAUUGGCAGUGAGUGGAUGAAUUGCCUAACCUGGAGCUGCCAUUAGGAAGUAACCUGUUUUCCCUUUGCAGUGUUGAUGGGAACCAUUUUCAGCAUCCUGCUGGUGACUGUCAUCCUUAUGGCAUUUUGUGUCUACAAGCCCAUUCGGCGUCGGUGACAGCCAGACAAGUUCUUCAAUGAGUAUUUGGGAAUAGGAUAAGUUGUGUUGCACACGGGUCAGUGGAGAAGUUGGAAUCAAAACUUUCCUACUUGGAAAUGACCUUUGGUCUGGACAGUUGGUAAACGCUAAAUGAAUUAGAAGAAAACAUCUACUAGAAAUUAUUUUUUCCUAACACUGUAGUGCAAAUAAUUGGCCCCGAAUCUGCUUCUCAGUGUUUCUGACUGUACUUGUUAAAAGUAAGACCUGAAAGCUCCAAAGGUCAGUGUAAAGAUGGAGUGUUCAUGAGAAAGAAAACAUUCACCUUGUGAGUGCCUGUAAGAACCACACUGGAAAGAACUCAUCAUUAAUGCUUGAAAAUGUUAACAGAGGGAGACUUACCAUGUAGACAUUCCCUAUUUAAGAACCAUUUGGUUACAGUGGGUUAAGAAUCACAGAAUUUUUUUUUUUUUUUUUUUAAUCUCACUUGAGUUGGCCUAGAAUGCGCUGGUUGCAAAGUGGUGUCAGCUGUGGGGAACUUGGGCCCUCAUUCCUUACCUGCAUCCGGCCCUGCACUCAGGUGCUCCCCCUGAAAUCAGGGUCACAUCAGGUAGUACCUGUUACUACAUGCACCUUUGGCCUGGAAGGCUCUGGGGUUGGACUGGAAAUGUUACUAGGUUGGCCUCUCACAAAAAAGGACCCCAUCCUGCUUAAACACAUUGAUCUCCGUUGCCCUGCAUUUGAGUCUGUAUAGCCCACGGUCUGAAACUUGAGGUAGCUUUCCAGAUUUGGAAUGUAAAAGGCUCAGCAGGCGCUCUGUUCAUCCCUGGGUGGGGAGGGCCCAGCCAGAAGUGCAUGUCCACUGUGCCCGCCAGUGUGUGUUUACACAAAUUUCAUCUCCGCUUUGAAAAUGCUGCUAUUAGUUUGCACUGUUGGUGAACUGGAUUUUUUCCUCCUAUUGAAAUAAUACUUUCAUACUUAUAAAGCGGUCGUCAAUAUUUAUUUCAAGGUGCUAGAUUUAAUUUUGUUAUUAAAUUGAAAUGCUUAUCUUGUGUUCAAGCACAGCACUGAUUUUAACAACCUGCAUUUAAUGUGAAAUAACUGAAGCAGGAUACUAUAACUGUUUAACUUAGGGAUUUUGUUUGUAAUCUUGUAACAUUGAGCCAUUGAAAUGUUCACUGUUCUGUGCUUUUGAGCAAAAUGUCAAUUAAAAUUAAAGUAAAAUCCUAUAUAU